GACGAACGCUGGCGGCGUGCUUAACACAUGCAAGUCGAACGGAAAGGCCCUGCUUUUGUGGGGUGCUCGAGUGGCGAACGGGUGAGUAACACGUGAGUAACCUGCCCUUGACUUUGGGAUAACUUCAGGAAACUGGGGCUAAUACCGGAUAGGAGCUCCUGCUGCAUGGUGGGGGUUGGAAAGUUUCGGCGGUUGGGGAUGGACUCGCGGCUUAUCAGCUUGUUGGUGGGGUAGUGGCUUACCAAGGCUUGGACGGGUAGCCGGCCUGAGAGGGUGACCGGCCACAUUGGGACUGAGAUACGGCCCAGACUCCUACGGGAGGCAGCAGUGGGGAAUAUUGCACAAUGGGCGGAGGCCUGAUGCAGCAACGCCGCGUGCGGGAUGACGGCCUGCGGGUUGUAAACCGCUUUCGCCUGUGACGAAGCGUGAGUGACGGUAAUGGGUAAAGAAGCACCGGCUAACUACGUG
rnacentral:rRNA from 1 species